CUUAGAUGUUCACGGAACCUGCAAGUUACACAGUUUCACAUUUAACUGAUACAUACCUGUGUGUCUUGUACUUCUCUGUUAUAUGUUGUAUUCAAUAUGAAAAAUGUUUCUCAAAAAAAAAAUGACAAGAGGAUCUCUUGUUUAAAUAAACCGAUAUUCACAAAAAUACAUUUGACAAUUUGGGGCACAAAUAAAUUAUAUUUUGCAGGGGAAAUCAAUAAUUCAGAAUUCCAUUAUACAUUUAAAAAUUAAAGGAUAAUAGGGCAAUAUUUAUACACAGGCUAUUAACGUUCUGUUUCCUACAGUCAGGAGGUGCCAUAUUAGUGUGAUGCUGUAGGGAUGAGUAACAUUCAGUGCAUUAAUCUGAUUCUAUCGACCCAACUCUGUUGCGUUGGUGCUAGAACCCUGAAAGACUUGGCUGUAAAGUAAAUCAUAAUGGACGUCCCUUUUGGAAUAAAAGCUAUACACACGUUUAGCUUUGGAAAAAGUGGUCUCAUCCUUUCCAUCUACCAGUUUAUAAACAGGCCCUAUUGUAUUAUUUGCGCUGGACGUUUAUUUUACAGAAAUGAACCUGGGAGGAACGGAAAAAUGGAAAUUUCACAUAUUCUAAAGAAUAUCAGCUGGAAGGGACAAAAAUAAAUAAAUUAAAAAAUUGGAAAUUCAAAUAUUCAUAGAAUUUAGCUUGUUGGAGCAGGGGCUUCUACUCUUGUAGCUGAUGAUAUUUAACAAAUAAUUUAAAUACAGAAUAUAACAUUCUAGAAUUGUAAAGCGCUGAGGAAUAUGCUGGCGCUAUAUAAAUGAUAAAUAUUCUAUUGAAAGUCAGCUGGAAAGGUUGAAAAUGAAUGGGAAUAUUUUUUAAGAAUAUAAAUGA